rnacentral:rRNA from 1 species
GACGAACCGUGCGAACGUUGUUCGGAAUCACUGGGCUUAAAGGGCGCGUAGGCGGGCUUGUAAGUCAGGGGUGAAAUCCUCCGGCUCAACCGGAGAACAGCCUUUGAUACUGCAAGUCUCGAGGGAGAUAGGGGUCUGUGGAACUUCCGGUGGAGCGGUGAAAUGCGUAGAUAUCGGAAGGAACGCCGGUGGCGAAAGCGACGGACUGGAUCUCAUCUGACGCUGAGGCGCGAAAGCUAGGGUAGCGAACGGG